rnacentral:rRNA from 1 species
CACUGAGGCGUGACGACGAGGCACUACGGUGCUGAAGCAACAAAUGCCCUGCUUCCAGGAAAAGCCUCUAAGCAUCAGGUAACAUCAAAUCGUACCCCAAACCGACACAGGUGGUCAGGUAGAGAAUACCAAGGCGCUUGAGAGAACUCGGGUGAAGGAACUAGGCAAAAUGGUGCCGUAACUUCGGGAGAAGGCACGCUGACACGUAGGUGAAGUGAUUUACUCAUGGAGCUGAAGUCAGUCGAAGAUACCAGCUGGCUGCAACUGUUUAUUAAAAACACAGCACUGUGCAAACACGAAAGUGGACGUAUACGGUGUGACGCCUGCCCGGUGCCGGAAGGUUAAUUGAUGGGGUCAGCGCAAGCGAAGCUCCUGAUCGAAGCCCCGGUAAACGGCGGCCGUAACUAUAACGGUCCUAAGGUAGCGAAAUUCCUUGUCGGGUAAGUUCCGACCUGCACGAAUGGCGUAAUGAUGGCCAGGCUGUCUCCACCCGAGACUCAGUGAAAUUGAACUCGCUGUGAAGAUGCAGUGUACCCGCGGCAAGACGGAAAGACCCCGUGAACCUUUACUAUAGCUUGACACUGAACAUUGAGCCUUGAUGUGUAGGAUAGGUGGGAGGCUUUGAAGUGUGGACGCCAGUCUGCAUGGAGCCGACCUUGAAAUACCACCCUUUAAUGUUUGAUGUUCUAACGUGGACCCGUUACCCGGGUUGCGGACAGUGUCUGGUGGGUAGUUUGACUGGGGCGGUCUCCUCCUAAAGAGUAACGGAGGAGCACGAAGGUUGGCUAAUCCUGGUCGGACAUCAGGAGGUUAGUGCAAUGGCAUAAGCCAGCUUGACUGCGAGCGUGACGGCGCGAGCAGGUGCGAAAGCAGGUCAUAGUGAUCCGGUGGUUCUGAAUGGAAGGGCCAUCGCUCAACGGAUAAAAGGUACUCCGGGGAUAACAGGCUGAUACCGCCCAAGAGUUCAUAUCGACGGCGGUGUUUGGCACCUCGAUGUCGGCUCAUCACAUCCUGGGGCUGAAGUAGGUCCCAAGGGUAUGGCUGUUCGCCAUUUAAAGUGGUACGCGAGCUGGGUUUAGAACGUCGUGAGACAGUUCGGUCCCUAUCUGCCGUGGGCGCUGGAGAACUGAGGGGGGCUGCUCCUAGUACGAGAGGACCGGAGUGGACGCAUCACUGGUGUUCGGGUUGUCAUGCCAAUGGCACUGCCCGGUAGCUAAAUGCGGAAGAGAUAAGUGCUGAAAGCAUCUAAGCACGAAACUUGCCCCGAGAUGAGUUCUCCCUGAGACUUAGAGUCUCCUGAAGGAACGUUGAAGACGACGAC